GGUUUUGUAGUGUAGCGGUUAUCACUCCGGAUUCUGACUAUCUUAGAGUUUUCCGGCAACCCCAGUUCGAUUCUGGGCAAGACCU